GUUUUCCAUAACUAUUAUCUCCCACAAAAUGAAAGUCUCUUCAACAUAUUUACAACCAUUUCCGAGUUUCGGCUCUCUCACACACGCCCUCUGUCGGAGAAAGGUGCAAAUGUACAUAUGGAUGUGUUGGAAUAACAAACAGCUCACUACGUUCCCCCUCGUUUCACUCUUAUAAGAAAGAAAUUCAAUUUUAAUGGGAAAAGUUACACUUAAUAUUUCCUAGAGCAAUAAAUAAAAUUGUUAAACAGAUAGUCCCACCCAAUUUGGUACCCCUACCUCGUAAAACACUUGUCUGUAAGGUAAAGUAAAACCAGGAUCAUUUUAUUUAAUUUUUAUUCAUCAACAAUAAUUUACAGUCUUCCAUUUGCCAUUUACCUAACUGGAGAAGUCUACUUUCCUGUUUCUCUACUGGAUAGAUACAUUUUAAUGUUCGUUUUAAAUUGUAAACAAAUCGAUG
rnacentral:lncRNA from 1 species